UGAAUGGCGGUGCAGGCUCGAAGGGCUGAAUGGCCUACUCCUGCACCUAUUUUCUAUGUUUCUAACCCCCAGGGGAGGCUGAGGGAACUGAUUUGGUCUGAGAUUUUCCAGUCAAGGAUAUGAAUGGUGAGAGAAUCAAGGCAAAGAGUUGUAGCUAAAGUCUGAUUAACUGUGAUUUCACUGAAUGUUAAAGCAACUAAAAGGGAGGCAGGAGAUCUUCCUGUGUCUAUGUUCUCUCUCAGAUAACUCAGUAGGUUAUCUGAUUCAUCCUGUAACAAGCAUGAGAUGGUCCUGUCUGGUCACAUACAUCCUGCCCCUUAUGCAUAGUCCAUAGCUCAGUAUACCCGCUGACUCGAGUGCUAACAGUCAGCGGUCAAUGAGUCUAUGGUGCUUUAUUGUGUGAAGUGCACAGUGAUUUUUUUUUGUUACAUGCAGUCCAGUAGAGUAUUGCCCCGAUUAUUGAGUAUUGCCCCGAUAUCCCUUAUUAGCAAGUGUACAGAAAUAAUAUUGAGCCUGCAUGCAUGUUUGGCCAGUCAGCGUGGCCGCCCCCAAGAGAUGUACUCAGAUGAACUCUUGAGGUGGCAUUCUCUGGCUUAAUGUCAUUCGCUCGGAUUGGGAAGUUGCGAAUCUCCCACGGCUGGGGGUGUGGCUGUCUGAGGAUCCAGCUCCAUCACUGACCGCAGUCAGCCCUGAACCUCAGAUAAUGGAAGACCCAUCUGUGCUUCUAUAGCCCAGUUGGCCUUUCACCAUUUAGAUCGUUUACAGCACGCAAUUGCUUGGCAUUUGUCUGUUCUGUAAUCAGUGUGAAAAGACAUUUCCAGAUAUAAGUAAGUAAAAGCCCCAGAUCUGAUGUGCAGACUAACCCCCCAAAGUAAGGAAUUAAUUUACUAUCAAUUCCUAUAAUCAUCUUAAGCACCUCCACUUAAGUCGCCACAUUAUCUUCUAAACCGCAAGAAUACAGAUUUGUUUAUACUAUUUAACCAUUUUAGCUCCAUUAUCAUUCAGGCAGAUAUGGAAAGUCUGUGGGAAAUAUCUUAUCAUCUUUUCCACUGGAAGUUUAACUUGCUUCGACAAAAAGCUGAGCAGAGGUUGACCAGGGAACCAGAUAUUUGGGGAAGGAGAUCUCAGCCCGUUCUCAGAUUCAAUUGCUACAUCUUCCCCUGUAACUUUUCCUUAUCCUGGAACAUUAUGGUAAUAUUUUGCCUGCCUCUUUCAAGCCCUGCAGGGAUAAAGGUUUACGCUAUUUCAUCUUUUCUUGCUGAAGUGGGAUUGAUAUUGGGUGAGUGAAAGUGUGACGACAUUGCAGAUAAACCAGAACCAGUGUUCUGGAGAACGCGGACAGGUGAGGGUUCAGGUUGGGACCCUUCUGAAAUCCAUGGAGAACCUAUCCAUGUCCUCCAGAGAUGCAGCCCGGCCCGCUGCGUUAUUCCAGCACUUUGUGUCUUUACUUGUAAACCGGCAUCUACAGUUCCUUGUUUCUCCAAGACACGGUGUUUGACUGGUGUCCUCCAGUUCAGGAAGGAUGCCAGCUCAUGGUAGAGGGCAACUACACAUGGAACUCAUCAUCACUUCAUUUCCUGUGGGGUCACAAUCCAUGACUGUGUGGUUCGGGUGCGCUUAGGUCUGAAGCUUCAUCCUCGGAUGUUGCCAUGGUGAUGCCCAAUCCUAUUGUUGUCCAUGAAUGUCUCCACUCGUUUCUCUGUGCAGUUGUGGCCUGCAGUGACCUUAUCAAAUGAUUUUAUUGUCUGUUGGACCUUCCCCCAAUUGGUGCCACUGUCUUGACCACUGUCGUCAAUCAACCGUUCUUGUCUCACCAUUCAUUGGUCUCAUUUCGUCUAGUUUCUCUGGACUUUGGUGUCACUGCCUUUUGAUUUUGAAUUUGAUUAAUCCCAAUAUCUUUGGUUUGACUCACCAAUGGUGUCGCAUCUCCUUUGGCUUCAGUAAGCAUUGAUCUUGUUGUUGAUCUCAUUAUCUAAUGUUCUCAAUAACUCUUAGAGCUAUACAACACGAAAACAGGCCCUCCUGUCCACCUUGUCUAUUCCAGCCUAUUUGCUAUACUGGACUAGUCCCAUUUACCUGCAUUUGGCCCAUAUCCCUCUAAACGUUUCCUAUCCAUAUAUCUUGGAAGUCAUCAUUGUAACCACUUCUUUAGAUUCCUCUGGCAGCUCAUUCUGGAUAGGGACAACCCUCUGAGUGAAAAGGUUACUCCUAAGGUCCUUCUUAAUUCUCUCCUCUCUCUUGCGUCUAUGCCCCCUAGUUUUAGAAACCUCUCCCCCAGGAAAAAUACUGUAAACUUUAAUUUUAUUCAUGCUCCUUGGUGGUCUUGUGUAUCUCAAUAAAGUCAUCCAUCCUUCACACUUAAAAAAUAAAAGUCCCAGCCUCUCCCUGUAAUUCGAGCCCACAAGCCCAGUUAACACCCUGAUGAAUGUCUUGUGCAUAUUUUUCCAACUUAAUGACAUCCUUCCUGUAGCUGGGCGACCAGCACUGCGCACAAUGCUCCAAGUGUGGUCUCACCAAUGCAUUGCAACACAAUUACCUAAUCUUUGUGCUCGAUAUGCUUCCCAAUGAAGGCAAGCACACCAAACACCUUCACCACCCUGUCCACUUGACUCUCCAUUUUCAGGGAACCAUCCACCAAUGCUCCCAACUCUCUCAGUUCUACAAUUCUCUCCAGGCUCUACCAUUUACUGUGUAAACCCUGCCCUGUUUUGAUAUACUAAAUUGCACCACCUGACACUUGUCGGAGUUAAAUUCUAUUUGUCAUUCCUUGGCCCACCUUCCCAACUGAUAACGAACAACCUCAAUGCUCACUGGUCUCACUGUUACUUGGAUUCACUGCCUUACCUUCCAAUGGCCUCACAGUUGAUAGAUUUCAUUAUCCACUUAUCACACCUCUGAGGAAUUCGACUGUUCAUUGGUCUUGAUCUCCAUAGAUCUUGUCUUGUUGUUGGUUGGUCUCAGUUGUGGGUUGUCUCAUCGGCCACAGAUCUAUUGGUAGAUCUCACAGCACUGAACCCAAACAAUCCCACUACUUUACCUUGAUCUCAAUAUUCAUUGUUCCGCCCUUCCCUUUAGUCCCACUGCCCAGCGAACUCUCUGUUAAUGUAUCUCAGUAUAAUUUAUUGAUUAUAACACAGGAACCCAUUCAGCCAGGUUCAUGCAAACCCUCAGCAGAGCAUCCCAUCAAUUCUAUUCCUCUAAUUUUCCUGCAGUCUAUUCAUUCCCUUUUGAUAUUUCUUUACCACUUAUCUGGAAGUAGGGUAAUUUACUGUUGCCAACUAACCUACCUUUGGGAUGUGAGAUGAAAUAGAAUCAUCCAGGGAAACCCACCCAGUCACAGGAAGAACAUGCAAACUCCACAGACAGCAUGUGAGGUCACCAUUGAAUCCAGGUCAAUGAGCCAGUGAGGCAGCUGCUCUUUACCACUGUCUUGCCACUUUGCUCCAUGGCGUAUGCGCCUUCUUGCCCCUCUAUCCCAUGGUCCUGCUGUCCAUUGCUCCCACUGUCAAAUUUUCUUACUGCCCAUUGGGGGUGGUCAUUUAAACUGAGGUCCGUAGGAAUUUCUCUUCACACAGAGCGGUGAAUUGUGGAAUUAUGUGAUCUGGUGACUGGAUCAUUGGGGUUAUUUAGAGAGGAGGUGGAUAAAUGUUGAAAGACCAGUGAACUCAGGGGAACUGGCGCAGAAGAGGAAAUGCAGCCUGGAGCAGUUUAGCCAUGAUCAUAUUGAAUUGAGAGGCCAAAUAGCCAACUCCUGUUCCUAUUUUCUGAUGUAUUUGUGCUGAUCUUAUGACCAUCAUUUUUUUCUGUUGAUAGAUCUCGCUACCCACUCACCUUUGUUGAUUUGUUUCAAUAUUUUUUGACUUACCAUUUCACUAUUCUAAACAUCCAUUGACUCAACCAUCUCUUGGUUUCAUUGUCCAUUUUGUAGCUGCAAGACCAGAUUGGCCAUAUAUCCCUCUGUCUGUUGGAUCUUAUUAUUCAUGAAUCCCAUUGUGGAUAAAUCACACCACUGUUGGGUAGGCUGACAUCUUCACUUUCAUCGGGAGCAAGGAAUUCCAGAGAUUUGCCACUCUGUAAGAGGGAUAAUUUGUACAUACUUCACUUUUAGAUUAGUGGCCCCUUUUCUAGUACUCUGUCCCCUCAUUCCUGAACUUCUGCCAGGAGCUUGUAAUUUCCACAAUAACCUUUGAUGCAGCAUCUGAACAAGAGCCUUCUGAAAUCUUACAAUGCCACAUCCACUGAUGCUAUUUUAUCCACAACACAUGUUGCUUCUUUAACGUUCCUUGCAUACCUCUGCAGUUCCUCCCUACACAUUGCUUCUUUGAAUAACUCCAAUCAUGCCUCCCAAGGUCAGGAUCGAACCUAGGUCACUGGAAUUGCAAGGCAGUGGCUCCAUGCAUUAGAACUAAUCCCGUCCACUGCAAUGGGUGUCCAUAAUUCUCGAUGUUCACUGAUAGCGUUGCUGCUCAUCUCACUAUCCCUUGACUUCAAUGACCAUUGAUCAUUGAACAUUUAUAAACGAUCUUUUAAUUUCACCAUUCCAUUGGUCGCAUUGCUAUCAAUGUUUUAAUAUCGAUUGUGAAACCAUCUAUUGGUCUCACAAUUCAAUGGUCUCUGUUUCGAUCGCUCCUGUUGUUUGAUCACCUGGCAUGCUGGUGUUGUUAUCCUAUCACAAUGCCCAUUUAUGGUGAUACUCAUUAGCCUUUUAUAGAGUCAUGCAACACAGAAAUAGGUCCUUCUGCCCAACUCAUCCAUGCUGACCAAGAUGCCCCAACUAGGUUGGUCCUAUUUGUCCACGACUGGUCCAUAUCCCUCUAAGCUAUCCAUCCAUGCACCCUGUCCAAAUGUCUUUUAAAUGUUGUUACUCUACCUGCUUCAACUACUUCCCCUGGCAGCUCGCUCCAUACACCUCUGUGCCUCCUGUGUGAAAACAUUAUCCCUCAGGUUCCUGUCUUUCCUCUAUCACCAAAACAAAUGCCUUCUAGUUAUUGAUUCCCCCCAUGCUGGGAAAAACACUGUGUGCAUUCACCCUAUCUAUUUCCCUCAUGAUCUUAUACAUCUCUAUAAGAUUACCCCUCAGCCCCUUGCACUCCAAGGAAUCAAAUCCUUGCCAGCCCAAACUCUCCCUGUUGCUCAAACUGAACACAACACGCAAGUGCGGCCUCAUUAAUGUCGUGCCAUUGUAACAUAGCUUCCCCGAAUUCUAUAUUCAAUUCGCACGUGGAUGAAGGCCAGUGUGAUAAAAGCCUUCAUCACCACCCUAUCUACCUGUGACUCCACUUUCAGCGAACUAAGUACUAUCCUUUGAUCCUGGCACCUCAUGGCCUCACUGUCCAUUGGUACGGCACUGUGUGUGUUCUCACUGCCCACAGAUCUCAUUGUUCUUUGUCAUAUUACAUUUUGAUCUUGGUGCCUUUUGAUAUUCCUCUAGAGAUCUCAAUCCCAUUGGAUGUGCUGCACCAUAUAUCACUGCUUAUUUCAUAUGUGCUUUUUAGCUUGGUGGUUUCGAUGUUUCUGUCUGUUGAUAUCGCUGAACAAACUUAUUUACUUACUGUAACACAGACUGAGAACACUCAGCCCAUUGUGUCGAUACUAGCUCCCAGCAGAGCAAUUAUGGGGAUGCCCUACAAUUGAAUCUCUCUUACACUUGCUAGCAAUUCUACUUUAAUUAUUUUAACAAUUUAGCUGCAAUAUUGGGCAAGGGGCUCCGUUGUCAAUGUAUGAGUAGGGUUAUGCAGGCUCCUUCAAGAACCUAAUGGUUGUAGGAAAGUAGCUGUUCCUCAAACUGGCGGUAUGGAAUUUAAGACCUUAGUAUCCCCUGCCCAAUGGCAGAAGGGAGAAGAGAGCAUGGCCUGAAUGAUUAGGAUCCUUGAUGAUAGAUGCUGCCUUCUUGAGGCAAUGCCUCAUGUAAAUGCGUUCAGUGGCGAGGAGGGAUUUGAUGGGCUGGGCUGAGUCAGGUCCACCAUUGUCUACAGCCUCUUGCAUUCCUGUCUGUUGGAAUGUCUCAUGAAGCAACCAGUCAGGAUACUCUCUACAGUACAUCAGUAGAUGUUCGUACCUAGUAGAACUCAGUACCUGGUAGGAGUAUAAGAUGAUGCAGUAAAUCCCUUUAAACAUCUAAGUAGAAGUGUCGGGGCUUCCUGAUUACAUUUCUGUGCUAGCCCAGGAUAGACUGCGUGUUACAUAUUCCAAACGUUCUUUGGUUAAGAAUAUUUUCCACUGAAUCCCCCCCGAAUCUACUUCAAGGCCUCUGAACUCAGUGCAUUGGUCCAAUGGCCAAAAGUAGGGGUCCCUGUGGUUCAGAGUGAAUCUCCAUUCAUCAUUCUGCAUAUUGCCCAUCAUUUCACUUGCCAUCAGACCUCUAAUGAUCUCCUGCCCAGUGAUUGAUGAUGUAGUCCAGAAAAAUCACUAAAUUAUGCGAUAGACAAUAGGUGCAGUAGGCCAAUUUAGCCCUACGAGCCAGCGCUGCCAUUCACUGUGAUUAUAGCAGAUAAAUUCACCUAUUUCUGUCUUCAAGGGACCCACAUUUGUCAUAAAAAAUUGUUUUUUCCCUCUUCACAUACCUAAAGAAGCUUUUACUAUCCUCCUUUAUAUUCUUGGCUAGCUUACCUUCAUACCUCACCCGUUCUCCCUGUAGUUAUCUUCUGUUGCUCUUUAGGUUUCCCAAUCCUCUGGCUUCCCGCUCAUCUUUGCUAUGUUAUACUUCUCUUUUAUUUUUAUACUGUCCUUGACUUCCCUGGUCAGCCACGGUCGCCUCUUACUCUCCUUAGAAUCUUCCUUCCUCUUUGGAAUGAACUGAUCCUGCAAUGAUUCACAUCCCUCUGUUCUCUUGCUGCAAAUUGUUCCCGAUGAAACCAUUGAUUCCAUUAAUUCUUCAUCCUGCUGCCCAGUGAUUGGUUGAUAUUUCUCUCUACCUGAUUAUGUCCACUGAUCUCACUACCCUUCAGCCUUUCCAUUCAUACCACUGCCCAUAGAUCACAUUCUCUGCUCUUUGACCUGUGAAACCUGCUGACACCGCUCUCCGUUGACCCCGCUGUACACUGUAUCUGUCCAUGUACCUUAGUCUGUUGGUCCUGCUCACUUGCAUCUCAUCCGUUUCACUGAGAAUUAGUCGCCGGCCAUUGAUUACACUCUCCACUGAGCUCACUGUCCCCUUAGCUCUGGGCAGUAACAGUGGCCCUGCCUGUUGAUGCACAGCUCCAGCGACCCAGCUUUGAUCCUGCUGUCAGUGUUGAUGCACUCUCCCUGUGACCAUGUAGGUUUACCAUAGGUUCUCCAGUUUCCUCCCACAUCCCAAAGACUCACAGGUUGGAAUUAGUCUCUUUAUCUGACUGUCCAUCUGCUGUAACCAGGUCUGGUCACUAACUACAGAAGGACUAGUGACGGUAUGUAGCAAGUGUUCACUGGAUUGAUUCCUGGGAUGUGGGGAGUGACCUAUAGGGAGAGAUUGAGCAAACUAGACCAAUAUAUUAUAGAGUUUAGAUGAAUGAGAAGUGAAACAAGCACAUUUCCUCUGAGGCUAGACAGGGCUAAUCAGCAGAGACGAUCUCCCUGCCGGGGUGAACAGGGCCAUCGUUCUCAGUGUCAAAACAAAGACUCACCCGUUCAGGGCUGAGACCGGAACAAAUGUCUUCACCCAAGGAACAAUACAUUUUGGAAUUCCCUGUCCCUGGAGGUUUAGUCACAGAAUAUAUUCAAGACAAGAGAUAAGUUUUGGGAUACAAAGGGAAUAGAGGGACAUGGAUCAGAGCAGGCAAAUGGGACUGGGAUAAAUUAUCAGCCAAAAUCUCACUGAAGGCAGAGCUGAGUAGUGACUGUGGGCUUUAAUCCUUGUUUCCAAAGUAGGAAAUCCCAUUUGCCAGUAAAUUAUAUAUCAGUGAAGUCACGUUGAUUUGAUCACCAAUUCUCAGACAGGCCAACAUUACAUCAACCUUUAUCCUGCCCCAAAUGCCAGGUGCGUGCAAUCAGCACCCGACAGUCGAUGACUGAACAGUGAAAUGGGAGCUUGUAAAUGCCCUUUGCCUCGUUGCCUGGAGAUCCAGUGCAUGCUGGAUCAGCAGGCAGUGGGCGAGACGGAAUGUGGGUGCAGUUGAGGGAAGGACUCAGUGGGCUGAUUAUUUUACAACAAACACGUCCUGAUCUUAAUGAUAGGUGAGAGAAUCUAACCAGCUGAGUCACUCCGUGAACUGCAAGGACAAUGACUCGGACCCACUUAACUCCUAGGCAGUGAUGUGUGGGAAUUACUUUCCAUGUGGAUUAAGGAUCGGAUAAGGGUAUUCAAGGGAAUUCAGUUGUUAGGUUCUAAGUUUCUUGAAAAGGACUGAGAAAGUGGGAAAGCUGUUCCUUGUGAGAGAAGUUUCUCCUCCUCCCCAUGUAGCGUUCCCUGGGCUCAGGCAGCUCAGUGCCAACAUGAAAGUGAUGUUGUGAUAGUAUAUGUUGUUUCUUAAAGCUUUCCCUUCGAGGUGUGAGAUGGUAAUCCAAUCCCAAUGGCAGCAUAUUUGCUAAUGUUCAGUGGCUUUGCUUGUCUGUGAAUGCUCAAUGCUGUAACUUUGAAUCAUUGGUUUACAUUGUUGCUGUAAAAGUUUGGAAAUAAAGUCUGUGUUCCAAGA